rnacentral:rRNA from 1 species
UACGUAGGGCGCGAGCGUUGUCCGGAAUUAUUGGGCGUAAAGAGCUCGUAGGCGGCUUGUCACGUCGGGUGUGAAAGACCGGGGCUUAACUCCGGUUCUGCAUUCGAUACGGGCUAGCUAGAGUGUGGUAGGGGAGAUCGGAAUUCCUGGUGUAGCGGUGAAAUGCGCAGAUAUCAGGAGGAACACCAACGGCGAAGGCAGCACUCUGGGCCGGUACUGACGCUGAGGAGCGAAAGCGUGGGGAGCAAACAGG